rnacentral:rRNA from 1 species
AUUGAACGCUGGCGGCAUGCCUUACACAUGCAAGUCGAACGGUAACGGGUCUUCGGAUGUUGACGAGUGGCGAACGGGUGAGUAAUACAUCGGAACGUGCCUAGUAGUGGGGGAUAACUACUCGAAAGAGUGGCUAAUACCGCAUGAGAUCUACGGAUGAAAGCAGGGGAUCGCAAGACCUUGUGCUACUAGAGCGGCCGAUGGCAGAUUAGGUAGUUGGUGGGAUAAAAGCUUACCAAGCCGACGAUCUGUAGCUGGUCUGAGAGGACGAUCAGCCACACUGGGACUGAGACACGGCCCAAACUCCUACGGGAGGCAGCAGUGGGGAAUUUUGGACAAUGGGCGCAAGCCUGAUCCAGCAAUGCCGCGUGCAGGAUGAAGGCCUUCGGGUUGUAAACUGCUUUUGUACGGAACGAAAAGCCCCGGGUUAAUACCCUGAGGUCAUGACGGUACCGUAAGAAUAAGCACCGGCUAACUACGUGCCAGCCGCCGCCGUAA